rnacentral:rRNA from 1 species
AGUGAACGCUGGCGGUAGGCCUAACACAUGCAAGUCGAACGGCAGCACAGUAAGAGCUUGCUCUUACGGGUGGCGAGUGGCGGACGGGUGAGGAAUACAUCGGAAUCUACUUUUUCGUGGGGGUUAACGUAGGGAAACUUACGCUAAUACCGCAUACGACCUACGGGUGAAAGCAGGGGAUCUUCGGACCUUGCGCGAUUGAAUGAGCGGAUGUCGGAUUGGCUAGUUGGCGGGUUAAAGGCCCACCAAGGCGACGAUCCGUAGCUGGUCUGAGAGGAUGAUCAGCCACACUGGAACUGAGACACGGUCCAGACUCCUACGGGAGGCAGCAGUGGGGAAUAUUGGACAAUGGGCGCAAGCCUGAUCCAGCCAUACCGCGUGGGUGAAGAAGGCCUUCGGGUUGUAAAGCCCUUUUGUUGGGAAAGAAAAGCAGCAGGUUAAUACCCCGCUGUUCUGACGGUACCCAAAGAAUAAGCACCGGCUAACUUCGUG